GGACUCGCACAAGCGGUGGAGCAUGUGGUUUAAUUCGACGCAACGCGAAAAACCUUACCAGGUCUUGACAUCCCUCUGACGUCACUAGAGAUAGUGAUUCCCUUCGGGGCAGAGGUGACAGGUGGUGCAUGGUUGUCGUCAGCUCGUGUCGUGAGAUGUUGGGUUAAGUCCCGCAACGAGCGCAACCCUCAUCGUUAGUUGCUAACAUUAAGUUGAGAACUCUAACGACCGAUGCCAGUGACAAACUGGAGGAAGGUGGGG
rnacentral:rRNA from 1 species